UACGGGGGGGGCAAGCGUUGUUCGGAAUCACUGGGCGUAAAGCGCACGUAGGCGGAUCUUUAAGUCAGGGGUGAAAUCCCGGGGCUCAACCUCGGAACUGCCUUUGAUACUGGGGAUCUCGAGUCCGGGAGAGGUGAGUGGAACUGCGAGUGUAGAGGUGAAAUUCGUAGAUAUUCGCAAGAACACCAGUGGCGAAGGCGGCUCACUGGCCCGGAACUGACGCUGAGGUGCGAAAGCGGUGGGGAGCAAACAGG
rnacentral:rRNA from 1 species